UAUUAUGGCUGAGGUUUCUUCCGAUAAUGAUGAUUGAUACAUGGUCUACGCGAGACCCCAUGGAUUCCAGUCUGAGGAUCUAAGUCCAGUACCAACCGCUCUUAGCAUUUCUGUGGAUCGGAUCGAGCUUCCGGACGUGUGAGAGGUACAAAAACUCGUGUAUAUUGUAACCCUUCUUUCUUUGCGUCCCACGAUAGGCCGAACAUUAUAUCAAAUGCAACUUUACUACUUCUUUCAACUCAUCCCGGGCCGGCUAUGGAUAUGUAUAAUUCCACGCAUGAGGAGACGAUUUCGUACUUGAGGUACAGAUGUUCAUUUCGAAGACCCGCUAGCUCAGGAUUUCUGCUCAGCUAUGUUGGAAGUGCUUCACUAUUUCGUAGCCUAGGUUUUUUUGUAUUGGUCCUCCUGUGUAUAUAUUUAUUUGUUCAGAGGUACGGCGGAGUCCCUGUCCCAUCAUAUGUGGUCGUUACUAUUCUUAGAGGUCUGUAGACAUAUGUAUGUGGGUUGUUUAUGAGUUUAUUUCAGUUGUGCCUAUAUGG